UGAAACAACCAGCCCACACUGUGAAAGGAAUCACUGACGACUGCACGUAUGUAGGAGAUAAGCUCUCACGCCUUAACAAUGUGAUUCGUCGUCGGAAAAGAGGGUUUGAGUUUCCGAUUUUAGAGCCUUAUAGAUAUGCAUGUUAUAGGUGCAAACAACCGGAAACACUCCACGGGAAGUAAAGAAGAAGGGUUAAUCGAAAAACUCGAGGGAAACGAGUAUAGAAGACGAAGUCAGUGGACUUUGGGUUGAACCUAAAUUCAUUACCCAGCUGCAGUCCGUUACUGACACUAUUCUACCUCAACCCAAACAAAUCACUUGCAACCCAUUCUGCCUCAGCCCCAACCUGGCACCUGCAGCCCGAUCGACACCCGAGUACCCAAGGCGCAACCUGCUACGACCUACGCAUCAGCCCACACCUGCAGCAGCCCAGUACUGCGCCCCAAUCUGUGACCCGCAUACGCGUAACGACUUGCGCCUCUACCUAAAGUCACCAACAACUGCGUCAACCUCUAAUUGCACCACGUGGCACACCUGCAGUACAAUACUUACUCGGCUAAGUCGGCUUAAAUGGCUCGGCUCAACUCUACGACUCAAAACUCGCUCCUUCGACUCAAUAAAGGGAAAAAUAGCUAAUUUCCAUAGUUCUGACAAUCUUGAAGUUGAAUUUGAGCUUGUUUAAGGCAAAUAAGAAAAUGAUGACCGACGAUAAUUGAAGUAAUUUCGAGGAACGAGAGUGAAUGUACUCGAAUUAGGAAAAAUGUCAGCUAAGGCCAACCAAGCAAGUGGCCCUACCAUCGUUUAGUUAUAAUUUUGUGUUGUAUGAUGACGUGUGUUCAUAUGGCUUCGCCGUGUUAUAUGCUUGUAUAUGCAAACUGUUAUAAAAUGAUAUGUAUAUAUUAUGAUACGUGAAUGUUAUGUUGUA